GACGAACGCUGGCGGCGUGCUUAACACAUGCAAGUCGAACGGGACCCGCAAGGGUUCAGUGGCGAACGGGUGCGUAACACGUGAAGAAUUUGUCCAACGGCGGGGGAUAGCCGGCCCAACGGCCGGGUAAUACCGCGUACGACCUUGAGGGGCAUCCCUCGAUGGUGAAAGCCGCAAGGCGCCGAUGGAGAACUUCGCGGCCUAUCAGCUAGUUGGUGAGGUCAUGGCUCACCAAGGCGACGACGGGUAGCUGGUCCGAGAGGAUGACCAGCCACAUUGGGACUGAGACACGGCCCAGACUCCUACGGGAGGCAGCAGUGGGGAAUAUUGCGCAAUGGGCGAAAGCCUGACGCAGCGACGCCGCGUGUGGGAUGAC
rnacentral:rRNA from 1 species